CGCCUUCAAUUUUUUACCUUUUUUUUUUAUCAGAGUUAAAUAACACACAAGCUCAAUGAUGGAACACACUACCAUCAUAAAUUUAGCAAGGCGCGCCAGAAAAAAGAUAGUUCAAUCGCCAAUCAAGAUAGACAACAGGCUUAUGAACCAUUAGAUAUUUAAUAAUAUAACACUUGCUACCCAUGGGAAAUGGGGUGAUAGUUCUCAAGAUAUAGUCUACACAUUCCAUAUCUACAACUGUCAUCAUCAUUCAAAAAAAAGAAGAAAAAAAAUGGAAACAUAAAGGUUAAUGGGACCCCAAACAUAAUUACCAACCAAGAAGGCCAUGUUGCUUCCAUCAAAACCCUCUUUCCCUCUCACUCAUAUUUGAUGGUGCUGUAGCUGCAAGAGUCUAGAAUAUGCCCCAUCGACUCGGCUAAUUAAUUCGGAAUGGCUGCCUUGCUCCACAAUCCGACCGUCUUGCACUACUCCAAUACUAUCCACACCUCUAAUGGUUGAUAAACGGUGAGCUACAAGAACUGUGGUGCGACCUCUCAUUAACCUCUCAAGUGCUUCUUGUAGCACACAUUCUGAUUCAGCAUCAAGAGCGCUUGUAGCCUCAUCUAGUAAAAGUAUUGCUGGAUCCUUAAGAACAGCCCUUGCAAUUGCAAUUCUCUGUUUUUGUCCUCCAGAGAGCUGAACUCCUCUUUCACCAACUGGUGUUUUGUACCCAUCAGGCAAUGCACUAACGAACCCAUGCACAUUUGCUGCACGUGCUGCCUCGAUUACUUCAGCUUCGGUUGCACCAUCCUUUCCAUAGGCAAUGUUAUCAAAAAUGCUUGCUGCAAAGAGGGCAGGUUCUUGUUGCACUAAUCCAAUUUUAAGCCUCAGGGACUUCAAAUUCAAUCUUCGAAUAUCCUUCCCAUCAAUCAUAACCUUUCCAGCAGUUGGAUCAUAAAAUCGCUCAAUCAGUGCAAUGACAGAACUCUUUCCACACCCACUAGCUCCCACAAGGGCCUGGCUUUGGCCAGCACGUAUUCUAAGGCUAAGGUCUUUGAACACUGGUACAUCAGGUCGUGAUGGGUAUGCAAAAUCAACAUGCCUAAGCUCAAUCUCCCCACGCAUUGAUUCAACAGGCUCAGCCUCAGGAUCAUCUGGAUCAAUCCUGGUGGAACGGUCCAAAACUGAAAAUACAGAACCGACAGAUUCACCACCUCUUAUAAUCUCUGGAGCAAGGCUAACAGUUUCUGCUACUGAAUUAGCUGUGAUCACCAGUACUACAAAAACCUUAAUAACCUUUGAGAAUGUGGAGACCCCUUUGCCCACAAGGUGAGCACCAUACCAGAGGAUGAGAGCUUCAGAUGCAUAGAGAGCAAGCUGAGAGAGGCCAAAUAGGAGGCCAGAUGUUUGGCUCCUGUGUAGGCUGCGAAGCUGUGGAACACGAAGCUCGUAGCAGAACAGAGAGAGGAUUUUAUCUUGGGCAUUAAAAGCUGCAACAGUUCUAAUAUUGCUCACUCCCUCACCAGCAAUCAUGCUAGUCUUUGCAUGGGCCUUGGCUGUGUCUCCAGCAAACCCUUUGAGAGAGAGUUGCUGUGUAACAAAGAAAAUAACAUAAUCAAUCGUCCUGGAAAUUGAAUCACCUAUGAAUUUGCUAAUUAAAAUGCAAUGCAUCAGAGAAUUUUAUGCCAAUUAAGUACAUAGACAUGCUAAUUGGUGGAGCACCUUGCAUAAAGUUUCAAUAAUGUAUUCUCAUUCCAUUUCUAGGUAUUGUCCAAGGAGCUUAGAUCUGUCAAAUUAAGAUGUUAAAACAAUAAGACCCAUUAAGAAAUGAUGGUUUAAGCAUGAUUGGCACAAGAACUUCCGAGUUUUGCACUGGUCAACUGAAAAGUCUCUUCCUAAAAGAGACAAGCAUCCAUGUAAAGAUUGUCACUGAAUCUAGAAUUUUGGUUCUUAUUUAUUUCUAUCAUUCGCGUAAGGAACCUUGAUGUCCUUGAGUGAUCAAUAGUUGGUAGCAUCUAAAAAAUGAUCGUACGCUAACUCUAUAAAGACUGCAAGGACCCACAAGGAGUGGAGCCAAUCAUGCUAGAGUCCACUCCUACACAUAUAAGGCACAUAUAGGACUGUGACCACUGCAUAUUUGAGGUACAUCCUCGAGCAAUAAAUUUAUCCACUGUGCAUAUCGCAUGGGCAAAUUUACAUACAACGACAGAACUGUGGACCUAUCAUACCUACACAGUUGAAAAACUAAUACAGAUUCUGCAAACCCCAUAAAUUCAAGACUCACGCUCAAAACGACAAGACCACAGAGAUCAACACGACAAUAAUGCAAGAAAAGGGUGUGACUCAGCCACUGCCAUGCUACUAUUGACUCUGUCACCCAUCCGACACUCCAAAGAAAACACCAAAAUACCCAGAAAAAUUUUUAAAAAGAAAAGCUGCAGAAGAUAAUAAUCUGUGCCAAUAAAUGUGUCAUAAAUAAUGUGAUUCACGGGCCAAGAAUCCCUUAGAAACACUCGCUCGGUGGUGGCAUCCAUCUAGGAGUAUCAUACAAUGUAAUUGGUAAACACUGAAAACUCGUAUAUCUAGAACUGAUAUACAUAUAUACACUGCAUAGAUUGAGAGAAAAUAAAGUCCAGAGAAAGAAACAACAAACAAGACAUGAGAUUUGACUGGGAUUAAAAAUCCAAGAAAAGGUCAUGGACUCGAGAAGGCAUAAACUAGAACACUUUCUCAGUGGCAUGGAAAUUGAUGGGUUUAGGCAUGGAAUCUUGUAUUUUACAAUAGUUCACUGUUAUUCACGAGCUCUAAAAUAUAUUAACAUAUAUUUAUGUUGGGGUUUUUGAGGAGUUGUAGGGAGCAUGUGCAGUUCAUACAUGAGUGACACGACGUAUUUUCUUAGCUUUUGUCGUUUAAUGGUAGGAGGUUAGAUUCCAGAGAUUAAAAAAAAAAAAAGGAGAUGCAGAGAUCCGACACCGCUGUAGAAAAAUUAAUGAAAUAGGGAGUUUCUUAUUUACCCUUUUGCCCUUGCAGAACCCAAGAAAAUAUUAAUUGCCCUUUAAGGCUGGGUAUUGGUUUUGGACCAAACCCAUUACCCCACCUAACAUGGUUAUCAGAAUGACAAGCAAAAAAGAAAAAGAAAAGAAUGCUUGCGCAUUUUUGCAGCACAGCAUGGUUCUAAACUUACCUGGGCAAAGUUGGCAAGGACAAGAAGAGGGAAGGUAGCUAAAAUGAGAAGGGAGACCCUCCAUUCCACUAUGAAAGCAACUAUGAAUGAAGUGAGGAGAGAGGUCAUGUUUUGUAGUAUCACAGAUAUUCUCUCGGCUAUUGCAGAUUUUACAUCAGCAGCAUCCGUAGCUAAUCGAGCUGCAACAAGGCUCGAGUUGUGCUCUUCUUCAUCGAACCAUCCGACUUCAUUCCUCAGAAUUGCUGCCAGCAUCAUUCUUCUCACUCUUGUAGUAAGGUUCUCUCCCAUAAUACUGAAGAAGUAAUGCUGAAUCAAAUAUGCAACAACAGCAUAAAGGCCAGCACCAAUGUAGAUAAAAACAUACUCCUUCGUCUUCCUUUCCAUAGAGGCAGGAUUUCUGUAAUAAAAAACCUCAAUCAUGUUGCUCAUCACUAUGGCAAAGGUUGGACCAAUAAACCCAGAAAGCACAGAUCCUACAGCACCCAUGAUAGAGUAUGGCCAUUCAGGAGCAUUUAGCUUGAGUAGUCUGCAGAAAUAGCCAUCUGGUGCUGGAUUUUUACGGUCAGUUUCAGCAUUUGAGAUCAUUUCAAUCCGGCCAUCAGCACCUGUACUAUAUGAAUAGCUCAAGUUCCGUAAACUGCCAGACCGGAGGCUCAAAGAUUUUGUUGAAAGUGAAUGACUUAAACGUGAUGAGCGAGAUCGUCUAGUUGAUGGGUUUGCAAAAUCUCUAUUUCUCACCAUUUCUUGGAAUCUGAUUAAUGAAGCAUAUGCUCCUCCUUUGGAAAUCAGCUCUUCAUGGGUUCCUGUCUCAACAACUUGCCCUUGUUGAAUAACUGCAAUUGUAUCAACAUUUCUAAUGGUGGAGAGUCGAUGUGCGACCACUACAGUUGUUCUUCCAACCAUGAGACGGUCUAAUGCUUCUUGAACUAUGCUUUCAGAGCCUGCAUCAAGGGCACUGGUAGCUUCAUCCAGAAGGAGGAUCUUUGGGUUCUUCAACAUAGCUCUAGCAAUGGCAAUUCUCUGUUUUUGGCCACCAGAGAGUUGGACUCCUCGCUCUCCAACCUGAGUGUUGUACCCAUUAGGAAGUAAAGUAAUGAAGCUAUGAGCAUUUGCAGCAGAGGUAGCAGCUUCCACUUCAUCCAUUGCGGCAUCAGGCUUUCCAUACAGUAUGUUCUCAAGUAUGGUGGUCGCAAAGAGUGCGGGUUCUUGGUUUACCAACCCAAUCUGAUCACGUAACCACCUAAGUUGAAGGGUCUUUAUGUCCACAUUAUCAAGCAAAACUUGUCCCUGAUUAGGAUCAUAAAACCUCUCUAUCAGAGAGACAAUGGUACUUUUCCCUGACCCACUACCACCAACAACAGCAACAGUCUUUCCAGCAGGAAAGAAGAUUGAGAAAUCACGGAAUAUGAUAACAUCUGGCCUUGAUGGGUAACUGAAAGUUACAUCCUUGAAUUCUAUAUCCCCAUUAACCUCGGGCAAGCACUUCCCAUCUGAGGGAUCUUGGAUUAUGGUAGGCUUUUGCUUAAUAAUUUCCAUCAACUUGUAUCCAGCUGCUUUACCUUUGCUAAAUGCCCCAAGAUUUGAAAAUGACUGGCCCAAACUCAUGCCACCAACAAUGGCAGAGAAAAUCGCCGUGAAUGCUUUUCCUCCAUCAGUCUGUCCAUUCCUAAUAAAAACACCAGCAUACCAGAAUACAAGGGCCCAUGACAUGCAUGCUAUUCCAUAGGUACAUCCCAACCCCAAACCUUUGGCCAUCCCAGCCUUGUAUCCAAGCUUUAAAGUAUUUUGUAUUGCAUCUGAAUAGGAAUUUAAGGCUUUGCUCUCCCCAACGUAAGAGUAAACUGUCCGAACUUGUGCAAUGGCCUAUGCAAGAAAAUAGAUAAUUUAGAUAGCCAAAAAGAAUGAAGAACAUAAAAAAACUAGUGCAGUUCAUACAUUGCAUUAUUUUAUAACUAUGGUCUUAUGAUAAAUUUGUCAACAAUUUUUUGGUCUAACAGGCAAAAUUCAAUUAAAUAAUAAUAAUAAUUAUAAAGAAAAACACUAAAGUGUAGAAAAAGCUGCUGCCCAUUUCUAUAGUUGCACAUGCAAAGCCAUCCAAUGAUACACAAAGUGCCACUUCCAACCAAAGCAUUGCACGCAGCUUUCCAAUACUGCUCGGCAAUUAUGCCGGCUUGCGCAUAGGAUUCGCGGCUCUUGGAUGUGAGGCCAGUGAGGGUAUAUGCGUACAAGCCACCAGCAAAAGCUAUUCCAGGUAUCACUGCCACACUUAGUAAUGCUAGCCUCCAUGCUGAUACAAAACCAACCACUAGCCCAGCUAGAAAUGUUGACAGAUAGUGGAUAAAGUUCCCCACCUUCUCGCUAAUGGCAUCUUGGACAAGAAGAGUGUCUGUUGAGACGCUAAAAACAAUAUCACCAGUUCUUGCAUCUGUGUCAAAGAACCCAACAUCUUGUUUCAACACUGCCUCUAGAUAUUUCUUCCGCAGUGUGCCUACUUGCCUCUCUCCGGUGUACAUCCAGCAAGCAAUCUCUGCGUAUGAUGAUAGGCACACAACAAGGCCAAGAUAAACAAAAUAUAGCGCAUACUUGGAGACUUCAUGGGUCAUUUUCGGCAAAUCAGAUUGGUUCUUGCCAAACCCAUUAACCAUUUCACCAAAUAACAAGAAAAAUACUGGCAUUGAAGAGCCAUGAAUAAUGGCUCCUAAGCUACCAGAGAUCAUAAGCAGCCAAUCAUACUUAUCAGCAAAUGAGAAAAGAUGGUAAAAUGGCAAGCUUUGUUCUUUCUUCUUCUCUGCCUCUGGCAAUGAUCCUUUAGUACUAGUAGUAGUAGUAUCUACAGUCUCUGCUGCCAUUUUAGCCCCCCAAAAACCAAGCUGCUAUCCUCCCUCCAAAGGCCAGGAAAUCAAAUGAAACUUUGAUAAACAAUUGGGUUGACACAAGAAAGAUUCUAAAGCGUCAGUCUUGAGUGAAAGCAGCUUGUCGGUAUAUUGCCAUUGAACGAGAGAGAUCUGAGUUUUGAGAAAAGGUGCGCAUGUAUACGAAUUGGAGAGUGAAAAAAAAAAAGGAAUGCCAACGGAGGCACUGAGAGAGGGACUGUGACAGUUUAAAGUGAGUGUAUGUUGGACUAGUGGUCAAAGGGUAUGCAGAGAGAGAGAGAGAGAGA
rnacentral:misc_RNA from 1 species